rnacentral:rRNA from 1 species
GACGAACGCUGGCGGCGUGCUUAACACAUGCAAGUCGAGCGGAAAGGCCCUUUCGGGGGUACUCGAGCGGCGAACGGGUGAGUAACACGUGAGUAACCUGCCCUUGGCUUUGGGAUAACCCUCGGAAACGGGGGCUAAUACCGGAUAUUCACUGCUUCUCGCAUGGGGGGUGGUGGAAAGAUUUUUUGGCUGGGGAUGGGCUCGCGGCCUAUCAGCUUGUUGGUGGGGUGAUGGCCUACCAAGGCGACGACGGGUAGCCGGCCUGAGAGGGCGACCGGCCACACUGGGACUGAGACACGGCCCAGACUCCUACGGGAGGCAGCAGUGGGGAAUAUUGCACAAUGGGCGCAAGCCUGAUGCAGCGACGCCGCGUGAGGGAUGACGGCCUUCGGGUUGUAAACCUCUUUCAGCAGGGACGAAGCGUAAGUGACGGUACCUGCAGAAGAAGCGCCGGCCAACUACGUGCCAGCAGCCGCAGUAAGAC